UACGGAGGGCGCGAGCGCUAAUCGGAAUCACUGGGCGUAAAGCGCGCGUAGGCGGCUUUUCAAGUCAGGGGUGAAAUCCCACGGCCCAACCGUGGAACUGCCUUUGAAACUGUAGAGCUUGAGUGUCGGAGAGGGUGGCGGAAUUCCAGGUGUAGGAGUGAAAUCCGUAGAUAUCUGGAGGAACACCGGUGGCGAAGGCGGCCACCUGGACGACAACUGACGCUGAGGUGCGAAAGCGUGGGUAGCAAACAGG
rnacentral:rRNA from 1 species